rnacentral:rRNA from 1 species
AUUGAACGCUGGCGGCAUGCCUUACACAUGCAAGUCGAACGGUAACAGGUCUUCGGAUGCUGACGAGUGGCGAACGGGUGAGUAAUACAUCGGAACGUGCCCGAUCGUGGGGGAUAACGAAGCGAAAGCUUUGCUAAUACCGCAUACGAUCUACGGAUGAAAGCGGGGGAUCUUCGGACCUCGCGCGGACGGAGCGGCCGAUGGCAGAUUAGGUAGUUGGUGGGAUAAAAGCUUACCAAGCCGACGAUCUGUAGCUGGUCUGAGAGGAUGAUCAGCCACACUGAGACUGAGACACGGCCCAGACUCCUACGGGAGGCAGCAGUGGGGAAUUUUGGACAAUGGGCGCAAGCCUGAUCCAGCCAUGCCGCGUGCAGGAUGAAGGCCUUCGGGUUGUAAACUGCUUUUGUACGGAACGAAAAGGUGCCUUCUAAUAAAGGGCGCUCAUGACGGUACCGUAAGAAUAAGCACCGGCUAACUACGU